rnacentral:rRNA from 1 species
GACGAACGCUGGCGGCGUGCCUAAUACAUGCAAGUCGAACGAGAGCGCCCGGUGCUUGCACUGGUCAAUCUAGUGGCGAACGGGUGAGUAACACGUGGGUAACCUGCUCAUCAGAGGGGGAUAACAUCCGGAAACGGAUGCUAAAACCGCAUAGGUCUUCGAGCCGCAUGGCUUGAAGCGGAAAAGAGGCGCAAGCUUCUGCUGAUGGAUGGACCCGCGGUGCAUUAGCGGGUUGGUGAGGUAACGGUUCACCAAGGCCGUGAUGCAUAGCCGACCUGAGAGGGUGAUCGGCCACAUUGGGACUGAGACACGGCCCAAACUCCUACGGGAGGCAGCAGUAGGGAAUCUUCCGCAAUGGACGCAAGUCUGACGGGGCAACGCCGCGUGAGUGAAGAAGGUUUUCGGAUCGUAAAACUCUGUUGUUAGAGAAGAACAAGUGCUAGAGUAACUGUUAGCGCCUUGACGGUAUCUAAACAGAAAGCCACGGCUAACUACGUG